AAAUUGAAGAGUUUGAUCAUGGCUCAGAUUGAACGCUGGCGGCAGGCCUAACACAUGCAAGUCGAACGGUAACAGGAAUCAGCUUGCUGAUUCGCUGACGAGUGGCGGACGGGUGAGUAAUGUCUGGGAAACUGCCUGAUGGAGGGGGAUAACUACUGGAAACGGUAGCUAAUACCGCAUAAUGUCGCAAGACCAAAGAGGGGGACCUUCGGGCCUCUUGCCAUCGGAUGUGCCCAGAUGGGAUUAGCUUGUUGGUGGGGUAACGGCUCACCAAGGCGACGAUCCCUAGCUGGUCUGAGAGGAUGACCAGCCACACUGGAACUGAGACACGGUCCAGACUCCUACGGGAGGCAGCAGUGGGGAAUAUUGCACAAUGGGCGCAAGCCUGAUGCAGCCAUGCCGCGUGUAUGAAGAA
rnacentral:rRNA from 1 species